UGGGGAAUUUUGGACAAUGGGGGAAACCCUGAUCCAGCCAUCCCGCGUGUGCGAUGAAGGCCUUCGGGUUGUAAAGCACUUUUGGCAGGGAAGAAACGUCAUGGGUUAAUACCCCGUGAAACUGACGGUACCUGCAGAAUAAGCACCGGCUAACUACGUGCCAGCAGCCGCGGUAAUACGUAGGGUGCAAGCGUUAAUCGGAAUUACUGGGCGUAAAGCGUGCGCAGGCGGUUCGGAAAGAAAGAUGUGAAAUCCCAGAGCUCAACUUUGGAACUGCAUUUUUAACUACCGGGCUAGAGUGUGUCAGAGGGAGGUGGAAUUCCGCGUGUAGCAGUGAAAUGCGUAGAUAUGCGGAGGAACACCGAUGGCGAAGGCAGCCUCCUGGGAUAACACUGACGAUCAUGCACGAAAGCGUGGGGAGCAAACAGG
rnacentral:rRNA from 1 species